AGGAAUACCGGACACUCGGUAGCCAUAUUGGAAACAACUGCGAUCAGCGCUCCUAUCGGGCAGUGUUGUGUGUAACGUUGUUAGCCCAUUUGUUUACGUGUUUUGACGGUGAUUAUUUUGUGGUAAAUAAUUUAUAACGCGCAAUUGAGAUGGAUCCGCCGACAUAUGGUACGUGCGGCAGUAUAUGCGCAAUGUAUGGGUGCAGUAAUUACAGAGUUCAGAAGGAUGCCAAGUCAUUUUUUUCUUUCCCGAAGUCUGACAUCUAUAAAGAGUGGGUGCACAAAACAAAGAGAGCUGACCUUGAUGAAAGUGUCAAACUUAGAGGUCCAGAUUGUCUCAAAUAUUUGAAAGUGUGUGAAAUACAUUUCAAGGAUGAUGACUUUAGAAAUCCAAGAAAUAAAUCCCAAGGGUUAAAAAAAGGAGUUGUUCCAAGUCUACAUGUUUAUAAUGGAAGCACGAAGGUAGAUUCCAGGAGGAGUCCAAAGAAACGGCCUCGGUUGGAUACAUCAAGCCCCUCUAGAUGUUCAAACAGAACAAAUACACUGCCACAAGAUUGUGAAAAUUCAGGUAAAAUUCUGUGAUAUUUCCUCCUUCAAGAUUCCAGAUUUGUGUGUUAUUAAAUAGCAUAAUCAGUACCAAGUAUAAAACUCUUCAGUUGCUUAUGUACAAGGCCAUAUUCUAAUCAAUUUAAGUAUGCCAAUUGCUUCACAAAACUAAUUGUGCUUGUCAUAUCUUUCUGGUGUGGCCUUCUGAAAUAAAAAUUUUAAAUUUUUUCAAUGCCAAAUACAAUUGUAACUCUUGCUGGUCCAGCAAGUGUGCUCGAGGUCAGAGAAAAUACUUAAUUGCAGUUGUCAGUUUUUAUGUUGUGUACUGUA